AGUAACGCGUGGGUAACCUGCCUCAUACAGGGGGAUAACGAUUGGAAACGAUUGCUAAUACCGCAUAAGCGCACAGUACCACAUGGUGCAGUGUGAAAAACUCCGGUGGUAUGAGAUGAACCCGCGUCUGAUUAGCUAGUUGGUGAGGUAACGGCCCACCAAGGCAACGAUCAGUAGCCGACCUGAGAGGGUGACCGGCCACAUUGGGACUGAGACACGGCCCAG
rnacentral:rRNA from 1 species